rnacentral:sRNA from 1 species
UUCCUUUCCGCUCGGCUGUUUUCCUGCGCGGGAGCCGCAGGGCCGUAGGCAGCCAUGGCGCCCAGCCGGAAUGGCAUGGUCUUGAAGCCCCACUUCCACAAGGACUGGCAGCGGCGCGUGGCCACGUGGUUCAACCAGCCGGCCCGGAAGAUCCGCAGACGUAAGGCCCGGCAAGCCAAGGCGCGCCGCAUCGCCCCGCGCCCCGCGUCGGGGCCCAUCCGGCCCAUCGUGCGCUGCCCCACGGUUCGGUACCACACGAAGGUGCGCGCCGGCCGCGGCUUCAGCCUGGAGGAGCUCAGGGUGAGUACUGGCAGCGCUGCGGUGUCAGGAAGGCCCCGAAGUCCCCUCUGUUGGCCUCAGUCGCGUGAUGACAUUCUCCGGAAUCGCUGUACGGCCUUGAUGAAAGCGCAUUUGAACCCUUUUCCAUCUGAUUGCUGAGGCUUUUCAUCCAGGCCUCGGGGCUGGAGAAAGCCCGGGCCUGUCUCCAUCUCUCUCUGGUUCUGGGGCAGGUGGCCGGCAUUCACAAGAAGGUGGCCCGGACCAUCGGCAUUUCUGUGGAUCCGAGGAGGCGGAACAAGUCCACGGAGUCCCUGCAGGCCAACGUGCAGCGGCUGAAGGAGUACCGCUCCAAACUCAUCCUCUUCCCCAGGAAGCCCUCGGCCCCCAAGAAGGGAGACAGUUCUGCUGAAGAACUGAAACUAGCCACCCAGCUGACCGGACCGGUCAUGCCCAUCCGGAACGUCUAUAAGAAGGAGAAAGCUCGAGUGAUCACUGAGGAAGAGAAGAAUUUCAAAGCCUUCGCUAGCCUCCGUAUGGCCCGUGCCAACGCCCGGCUCUUCGGCAUACGGGCAAAAAGAGCCAAGGAAGCCGCAGAACAGGAUGUUGAAAAGAAAAAAUAAAGCCCUUCUGGGGACUUGGAAUCAG